AUUCCGGUUGAUCCUGCCGGAGGUCAUUGCUAUUGGGGUCCGAUUUAGCCAUGCUAGUUGCACGAGUUCAUACUCGUGGCGAAAAGCUCAGUAACACGUGGCCAAACUACCCUACAGAGAACGAUAACCUCGGGAAACUGAGGCUAAUAGUUCAUACGGGAGUCAUGCUGGAAUGCCGACUCCCCGAAACGCUCAGGCGCUGUAGGAUGUGGCUGCGGCCGAUUAGGUAGACGGUGGGGUAACGGCCCACCGUGCCGAUAAUCGGUACGGGUUGUGAGAGCAAGAGCCCGGAGACGGAAUCUGAGACAAGAUUACCGGGCCCUACGGGGCGCAGCAGGCGCGAAACCUUUCACUGCACGCAAGUGCGAUAAGGGGACCCCAAGUGCGAGGGCAUAUAGUCCUCGCUUUUCACGACUGUAAGGCGGUCGUGGAAUAAGAGCUGGGCAAGAGCGGUGCCAGCCGCCGCGGUAAUACCGGCAGCUCAAGUGAUGACCGAUAUUAUUGGGCCUAAAGCGUCCGUAGCCGGCCAACGAAGGUUCAUCGGGAAAUCCGCCAGCUCACUGGCGGGCGUCCGGUGAAAACCACGUGGCUUGGGACCGGAAGGCUCGAGGGGUACGUCCGGGGUAGGAGUGAAAUCCCGUAAUCCUGGACGGACCACCGAUGGCGAAAGCACCUCGAGAAGACGGAUCCGACGGUGAGGGACGAAAGCUAGGGUCUCGAACCGGAUUAGAUACCCGGGUAGUCCUAGCUGUAAACGAUGCUCGCUAGGUGUGACACAGGCUACGAGCCUGUGUUGUGCCGUAGGGAAGCCGAGAAGCGAGCCGCCUGGGAAGUACGUCCGCAAGGAUGAAACUUAAAGGAAUUGGCGGGGGAGCACUACAACCGGAGGAGCCUGCGGUUUAAUUGGACUCAACGCCGGACAUCUCACCAGCUCCGACUACAGUGAUGACGAUCAGGUUGAUGACCUUAUCACGACGCUGUAGAGAGGAGGUGCAUGGCCGCCGUCAGCUCGUACCGUGAGGCGUCC
rnacentral:rRNA from 1 species